AAGUAGGCGAAGGCGAGGGACGACACCAUGGAGUCGAGGUCACAGGCCUCGUUGCCAAGGACAAUGUGGAUCCCAGAGCUGCCCUCCGAACUGCCCUAAGGAAGUAAGGAAAUGUAUCAAGGGAUGACAGAGACCUCUGGCUCUGAGCAAGACAGUGAGCCAGAGCUGCCAGGUGAUGUCAUCGAGCCCCUCCCAACUGCAUCAAGCACCACAUGUGCUGUUCCAAAAGGACCCAAUGACAUUUCAAGAUCCAGAGAAGAGGGUCCUGUACAGCCGUGUUUGAAAACAUUUGCCAAAACUCAGCAUGGUACUAGGAAAAGGGCUGUCAACAGCUCCUGGUAUAAGGACAGUUCAUGGCUUGAAUAUUCUGUAAAUCAAGAUUCAACUUGUUGUUUCGCCUGUAGGCAUUUAUCUCGGCCCAAUACACCUGAAUCUGCCUUCACAUCACAGUCAUGUUUCUCUGUUCAAUACACCUGAAUCUGCCUUCACAUCACAGUCAUGUUUCUCUGUUCAAUACACCUGAAUCUGCCUUCACAUCACAGUCAGGUUUUUGUAACUGGAAAAAGGCGCUGUUUAAAGAUUCUGGGUUUAAGCUCCAUUCGAAGGCAAAGCAUCAUAUCAACGCUAUGUAUGCUUGGAAUCAUCUUAAAAGGGCUAUUGACAGCAACUCAUCAAUGUUAGAUGUCAUAAAUGAGGACCGGAAAAAGAAAGUGGAGGAAAUCUGUACUUACAUUAAAACAAUUGCAGAUGUGCUCCUAUUAACUGCCACUCAAAAUAAAGCGCAGAGAGGUCACAACAAGGGUAAUGUUUUGACAAUCUUAGAAGAAAUAGCAAAGCAUGACCCUCUCAUAGAGAAAAGGAUGAAUGCAUGUGGCAAUGCUAAGUACACAAGCCACCAAAUCCAGAACAAAGUUCUUGAGGGCUUAGCUGAGAUGGUACAAAGUGAAAUAAUAAGAGAAGUAAAUGAAAGGGACGUUUUUUGUGUAAUUGCAGAUGAAACCAAAGAUUUAAAGAAAAAAUAAAGUCUUUAUUUGUGAGGUACUAUCCAUGAAAGCUUUUUACAUUUUCAGUCAGAUGAAAGCUUAGAUGCUGCAGGUCUCACAAAAAUUAUAAUUGAUUGCCUUGAAAAACAUGGCCUGGACUGCAGAAAUAAUCUUGUGAGCGGAAAGCAUUCUGGUGUGUCUGCACGGAUUAAAAACAGUGCAAGGUUUGCAUUUUAUGUGCACUGUAAUGCACAUUGUUUGAAUUUGGUUCUUGUCGAUGCUGUAAAAUCAGUGCCUGAAGCAGUUCACUUUUUUGCUCUCCUGCAGAAGCAAGGGGAACCACUACUUCAAGGUCUCAGAGCAAGUGAUGUCACCAAUUGAAACGCCACUAGCGCACACCACCACUAACUAGCUAGCAAUUUCACAUCGGCUACACUCACCCCCCUUUUGACCUUCUCCUCUUUCCGCAGCAAUCAGUGAUCCAGGUCAACAGCAUCAAUGUAACAGUAUAGACUUUAUGCCCGUCCCCUCGCGCCGACCUGGGUGCGAACCAGGGACGCUCUGCACACGUCAACAGUCACCCUCGAAGCAUCGUUACCCAUCACUCCACAA